GGUCUCCGUAGAUCAAUGGUAGGUAGAACAACCGACUAUGGUGCGGUAGAACUCGGGUUCGAGCCCCGCUGAAAGCA